AAAAGAAAAGAAGAAAGAGUGAAGAGAAGAGGUCAAGAAACCCAUCCAUCACCAACUUCAUACCCAUCAUUUUUUCAUCCAAAAUUUAGAGCCAAAUUGGGGAGGAGACUGAGUAAAUAAAAGGUAGAAGGUUUGGAGAGAUUAGAGCUGGAAAAGGCAGAGAAUUUCAAGAAAAUAGUUCAGUCAUCACAGUUCUUGGUUUACACAACACACUUCUGAUGUUUUCUUCACUGCAAGCUACACAAGAAAAAUCCGAAGAGUUAAGCAGGGUAAACAUGUAUUGUUAGAGGAGGACGAUGUUUGUUGACUUCACAUCGUCUUAUGAGUUAAGAGGAAAUGUUUCGGGAGGGGGGUGUGACAAUUGGACGUUGUUAAGGUCAGUCUUGUGUAUUUUACAGAAUUAGACUUGAUGAAGCAAGAAAAUACUAUAAGGAUGACCGACAAGACAUUGCUUGUUGAUGUUGAUGACUUAGAGUACAACAAUACCAAGGAUUGAGAAAACAUUAUGGGGAUAAAACAUUUGUUGGCCUUCAGAAGACAUUGAAAGAUAAGAAAGGGGCAUGCAAGUAGAAGUCUAAGAAGAGGCGUAUUACGUCAUCAAGUACACUAUUUUGGAUUUCUCUUUUGCCUUUCAAGUAUAUUAUGUUUCAUGUUAUUAUUAUUUUUUUUUGUUAUUUUUCUUGGUAUCCAAAAACAAAAAUCAAUUAAGAGCUUCAAUGUUAUGGUUGUUUUGGGCUUACGAGACGAUACCUAUUUUAUUUGGUAGGGGUGCAAAUCGUCGUAACAACCAUGCAAUCCCUUGUUUCUUAAGGUGGUAAUGCACAUCUGAUUGUUGAAUAAGAUACUUUGGCACGAUGUAUUCAAUGAGCCUAAU